AGGCAAUGGAUUAAUGGAGACUCUAGACAUUUGUUUCCUCACCAGUGAAAAUUAAAUGAAGACCCAGGAAUCACUACAGCUAUGGGGAUGAGAAGGACAUUUCAGCAGCUAGAGUGUGGUGGCCUCCUUAGCAGCUUCUUUUUCCAUCAAGAAAAUAUUUCUGGACAAAAACAAACCCAUAGCUGGUUGGAAGCAGGGCAUUGGGCCCAGUGUUAAAGAUUUGAAUAAGAAAGAUGCAGAAGAUAUUAAUCAUAGGCUUAUCAAUGCUCCUAGGAGAUCUGUCCCCCUGAUUGAAGCAACUCUGGCCUUUGGAAGUUCAUAUCCAAGAAGUAUGAUAUCAAUCUUAUUUUUAAAUAAAGUAAAAAUUUGA
rnacentral:sRNA from 1 species